GAUAAGAAUCAGAGGAGGAGGAAAAGAGAGGUGAGAGGUUGCAGAUGAGUUGCAUGGCAUGGGAUAGUGAUGCUGCUGCAUAGGCUCCAUCGCUCCAUCCCUCCCUCGGAGAGAAUGGAAAAAACAAGGAGUGGUUAUGUGAUUCCCCACAUGCAGGGUGAGGAGCGCACAGUGGAGAAAAGGAAUAGCGGGGAGGGGGGCGUUUCCCUGCACAGCACAGUCUAUUAUCACCACACUUGAGCAUGGAUACGUUGUACAGCAUAUGGAGCGGCUUUUUCAGCUGACAUAAAGGUGGACGUGGCGCUCUUGGUGAGAACAGAAGACACGUCCACUUGAGUUGUCAUCAUCAGCAGCCCAGACAUGGACAGUUGGGAUGGAGGAAGAGGCAAGAUGCGAAGGGGAGAGAUGAGGCGAGAAGACUAGAGAAGUAUAGGUGCUGUCCUUAAAGAUGUGCCUCCACACAGACCUACUUCAACACUGCAAUCUUAUUCAGAGUGCAGGAGCUGAAGGGAAGCACACAGAAAAGGAAAGUGAGCUCCACAGUCGAGAGGAGAAAGAAAGUAAUAGAGGGGAGGAGGUGGGCAUUUCUGCUCCUGUCUCGACCACGGGUAUUCUUGGGUUGAUAAUACAGAUGUGGAUGUUAUUGCUUGAGAAUACGCGUAGUCGAGCGGAAGCUUUAUCAUCAGCACUGGACCAUAAACAGAACAUUGCUCAGAGCCCAGGCAGACACAUUUAAAUGUAUAGUCAAACUGAGGCAUUUGGUGAUUUUUAAUUAAGCACCCAGAGGUGACUUUUUAUGGCAAAGGCUUAUUUUGUUUAAUCAGAAAGGGUUUUUUUUAUUUUUAAAUAGAAUCCAAUCAGGGCUAGCAGGAGCCCAAAUCCAAUCCAGCCAAUGAAAGGGUUUUAUCAUCGCAGUUUUAUCAACCAUGUCAACCCUUUACACCUGUGGAGGAAAUGAGUUUGUGUCAUUGGCUAGAUUCAGCCUCCCCUGCAGAGGUGCUGGUGGGAAAGACUUGUACCAUGCCACUAAGCUAAACCCCCAGGCAUUAGUUCAGGGAGCUUAACACAAAAGUCUUCAGACUUAGACGUUAAUUCCAAAUUCUUGAUUGCAUACCCUUGUCAUUCAGUCGUGCACACAAGUGAUCCUAUAAUCUUAUCAGUUGAUGGGUGUCUUUCACAGACCUUCACACUCUGCACUGAACAUUUUCCUGAAGCUGAGCAGAAAUUUCAAGUUAAAAGAAAAAAACUAGCCGUGUGUUCCUGGACUUCACAUCCCCCAGGCAAGGGGAUAAUAUAAUAUAUUAUAACUGUGCAUAAGCAUCGUACCGCUGCACUUGCAACCACUGUUGCAUUCCUAUUUUCAAAUCUUGCUAAAAAUGUGUGUUUGAUGCCUGUAGCAGCAACAGUAGACAGUACCACAUGAGGACAUGUCAAGGCUUGCACCCAUGGCUGACAUUUCAGCGUUCAGCUCAGCUGACUGGCUGUCACGAUGGAGAUCCAGACCCACAUUCGCGCAUACGCUCAAGUGCCUGAAUGUUCACAUAAUCUAGAUGCUGGUAGGAAAAUCGGGGAUUGAGGGAUCUCACAAAAAUAGGCAUAUAGAUAGAUCUCACAUAUAUGACUGCACUCACGGUGCAGCUAGUAGGUUCACUGGGUCCAUGUGCCAGCGAGGAAAUAAGGGAUUGACUGAUUUUAUGGUUAACUAUUUUUAGUCAGAAUGAUGGAUGUUUAUGUUCUUUAUUGAUCAAGGUGAGGUGUGGGUUUGAAAAAUUCCCGGACGUUUGGGCGUGCUGAUUAAUCAGGUAGCAGCUGUGUUCGAAUAAAACAUUUUACAUUUUGGGCGCAUUAGCAUUAUUGCUAAGUAUUAUAAAUUAGAAAAUCAGCAUUUCAUUGCAAAUUCAGCAAUACAUUAGCAUCUGGUUAUGUCCGUGAUAAAUUACACCCUUAUCAUUCACACGAUUUCUUACUACUGUGUAAGCAAAUCUCUUAAGAGUGUGUAAUUAUAAUUUAUACAAAUUUCACUCCGAGGUUGCAUAAACUUGUUGAUUGGGCAAAGCCAUUUCUGCGGUUUGGCGUGUAUUUGUGUGUGUGCUUCUAAGCAACAAAAUGACUAUUGUGAGCACAGCUCCAGGUGCCUAGCAACCAAAUCGCUCUGUUUCCUUGGCAACAGUUGCCUUGCACUCACUGUGUGGGUGAUUGGCAGCCUUGACAACGGAGACGGAGUGACACUUGACCUCGCGUGCUGAAUGGGAGAGGAGAAAGAAGAAG